GACGAACGCUGGCGGCGUGCUUAACACAUGCAAGUCGUACGGUAAGGCCCUUUCGGGGGUACACGAGUGGCGAACGGGUGAGUAACACGUGAGUAACCUGCCCACAACUUUGGGAUAACGCUAGGAAACUGGUGCUAAUACUGGAUAUGUGCUCCUGCUGCAUGGUGGGGGUUGGAAAGCUCCGGCGGUUGUGGAUGGACUCGCGGCCUAUCAGCUUGUUGGUGGGGUAGUGGCCUACCAAGGCGGCGACGGGUAGCCGGCCUGAGAGGGUGACCGGCCACAUAGGGACCGAGGGAAGGCCCAGGCGGCGAAGGGAGGAAGCAGGGGGGAAGAUUGAACAAUGGGCACAAGGCGGAUGCAGCAAGGCCGCGGGCGGGAUGACGGCCUUGGGGGUGAAAAACAGCUGCAGCAGGGAAGAAGCUUGUUGUGACGGUACCUAAAGAAGAAGCACCGGCUAACUACGUG
rnacentral:rRNA from 1 species